CUUCAGCGACCCCAACCAGAGCGGGCGGUCCUCGUCGUGCUCCUUGCCGUAGGUGGCGAGCAGCGCUUGCGCCUC
rnacentral:antisense_RNA from 1 species